ensembl:snRNA U6 U6 spliceosomal RNA
GUGCUCACUUUGGCAGAAUACAUACUAAAAAUUGGAAUGAUACAGAGAUUAGUAUGUCCUCUGCCCAAGGAUGACACAAAUUCAUGAAGUGUUCCAUAUCCUA